UGGGUAUCUGCCCUUUGGCCUGGAAUAANNNNAGGAAACUUGUGACUAAUACCGGAUAAGUCUUUACGGAGAAAGCUUUAUGCACCAUUGGAUGAGCACCGCACUUGAUUAGUUAGUUGGUAGGGUAAUGGCCUACCAAGACUGUGAUCAAUAGCUGAUUUGAGAGGAUGAUCAGCCACAUUGGGACUGACACACGGCCCAAACUCCUACGGGAGGUAGCAGUGGGGAAUCUUGCACAAUGGAGGAA
rnacentral:rRNA from 1 species